rnacentral:rRNA from 1 species
AGUGAACGCUGGCGGUAGGCCUAACACAUGCAAGUCGAACGGCAGCACAGUAAGAGCUUGCUCUUACGGGUGGCGAGUGGCGGACGGGUGAGGAAUGCAUCGGAAUCUACUUUUUCGUGGGGGAUAACGUAGGGAAACUUACGCUAAUACCGCAUACGACCUACGGGUGAAAGCAGGGGAUCUUCGUACCUUGCGCGAUUGAAUGAGCCGAUGUCGGAUUAGCUAGUUGGCGGGGUAAAGGCCCACCAAGGCGACGAUCCGUAGCUGGUCUGAGAGGAUGAUCAGCCACACUGGAACUGAGACACGGACCAGACUCCUACGAGAGGCAGCAGUGGGGAAUAUUGGACAAUGGGCGCAAGCCUGAUCCAGCCAUACCGCGUGGGUGAAGAAGGCCUUCGGGUUGUAAAGCCCUUUUGUUGGGAAAGAAAAGCAGCAGGUUAAUACCCCGCUGUUCUGACGGUACCCAAAGAAUAAGCACCGGCUAACUUCGUG